UUUUUCCGGCCAGCCAGACAGUGCGUUUUUUGCUAUACAUAUUUUUCCGGUAAACUAUUUUUCAGACGAGGUUAAAAUGACUGCACUUCACGGCGGAGAUGGUGGCAACGACCCUCCAAACUGGGGGUGGAAUCCCGAAUGGGGUUGUAGGCGUACGGGUGGUAUUAGCACA